GAAAUGCGAUACGUAGUGUGAAUUGCAGAAUUCAGUGAAUCAUCGAAUCUUUGAACGCACAUUGCGCCCUUUGGUAUUCCAAAGGGCAUGCCUGUUCGAGCGUCAUUUGUACCCUCAAGCUUUGCUUGGUGUUGGGCGUUUUUUGUCUUUGGCUCGCCCAAAGACUCGCCUUAAAACGAUUGGCAGCCGGCCUACUGGUUUCGCAGCGCAGCACAUUUUUGCGCUUGCAAUCAGCAAAAGAGGACGACAAUCCAUCAAGACUCCUUCUCACGUUUGACCUCGGAUCAGGUAGGGAUACCCGCUGAACUUAAGC
rnacentral:misc_RNA from 1 species